UACGAAGGGGGCUAGCGUUGCGCGGAAUCACUGGGCGUAAAGCGCACGUAGGCGGAUUGCUAAGUCAGGGGUGAAAUCCUGGAGCUCAACUCCAGAACUGCCUUUGAUACUGAUAGUCUCGAGUCCGGAAGAGGUGAGUGGAAUUCCGAGUGUAGAGGUGAAAUUCGUAGAUAUUCGGAGGAACACCAGUGGCGAAGGCGGCUCACUGGUCCGGUACUGACGCUGAGGUGCGAAAGCGUGGGGAGCAAACAGG
rnacentral:rRNA from 1 species